rnacentral:rRNA from 1 species
UACGGAGGGUGCGAGCGUUGUUCGGAAUUACUGGGCGUAAAGGGCGCGUAGGCGGCCCGUCAAAUCCCGUGUGAAAGCCCCCGGCUCAACCGGGGAACUGCACGGGAAACUAGCAGGCUUGAGUUCGGGAGAGGGAAGCGAAAUUCCGAAUGUAGCGGUGAAAUGCGCAGAUAUCCGAAGGAACACCGGUGGCGAAGGCGGCUUCCUGGACCGACACUGACGCUAAGGCGCGAAAACUAGGAAAACAAACGGG